CGGCGUGCCUAAUACAUGCAAGUCGAACGGUCUUUUCUAUGGAAGCUUGCUUCCACUGAGAAGAUAGUGGCGGAACGGGUGAGUAACACGUGGGUAACCUGCCCAUGAGGAGGGGGAUAACAUCCGGAAACGGGUGCUAAUACCGCAUAGUUUUUCUUGAUCGCAUGAUCGGGAAAGGAAAGACGGCCUUUGUGCUGUCGCUUAUGGAUGGACCCGCGGCGUAUUAGUUAGUUGGUGAGGUAACGGCUCACCAAGACGAUGAUACGUAGCCGACCUGAGAGGGUGAUCGGCCACAUUGGGACUGAGACACGGCCCAAACUCCUACGGGAGGCAGCAGUAGGGAAUCUUCCGCAAUGGACGAAAGUCUGACGGAGCAACGCCGCGUGAGUGAAGAAGAUUUUUCCGGAUCGUAAAACUCUGUUGUCAGAGAAGAACAAGUUGGAGAGUAACUGCUCCAGCCUUGACGGUAUCUGACCAGAAAGCCACGGCUAACUACGUGCCAGCAGCAGC
rnacentral:rRNA from 1 species